GGAAAGUGAACCAAAACUGAUCAGGUUUAGAUGACAAGAAAUGGAAAGAGAUAAUUCACUUUAAAUGUGACACUAAAUUGGAAAAGGACAGAUUUCACAAUUAUAGGGAACUACUCUUAGGAAUCCAUGAAACAGAUGUAAAGGCUUAUGGGGUUUACAAAAUUGGAUGUUUAUUUAGGAAACUGUUUCAGUGAUAAAACAAUGAAGGGCUCGGAGUUCCCUAGUUAAGGCACCAGCUCAGUGGUUGAGGUACCAGUGUUGUCACUGCUGUGGCUCAGGUCACUGCUGUGGUGUAGAUUCGAUCCCAGGAAGCUCUGCAUGCCUCUGGCAUGGCUGAAAAGAAAGGAAAGAAAGAAAAAAAAAAAAGAAUGAAGGACCAAUUUUAACAAAAAAUGAGAAAGACAAAAGGAAACCUAUCUGAUAGAAUAAAGCUCAAAAUGCUCUGCAGAGGUGAGCCCCAAGUAAAAUCACUGAGGGAGAAGCAGGGCCCCAAAGAAGGGCCAAAGAAAUUUGAGUCAAAAAAGAGAGGAAGACAUGCCAGCUCCCCUGAGGGAAAUUGAAAAAGCUUCUUUGAAUGGCGAAGGCACCCGAGUGGGGAAAAUGUGCCACUGCAUGGGAAGCUCGGACUGCAAAGAGAGGACUCAGCUGAGAUGUUCAUGCAGCCUGUGCAUUUACGAAGGGAAAUGGAACAGGCAGAGGGAAAGAGACAUCUUAUUUUCCUUUCUCUGAGUAUUUUUUUUUUUUGUCUUUUUGCUAUUUCUUUGGGCCGCUCUCGCGGCAUAUGGAGUUCCCAGGCUAGGGGUUGAAUCGGAGCUGUAGCCACCAGCCUACGCCAGAGCCACAGCAACAUGGGAUCCAAGCCGAGUCUGCGACCUACACCACAGCUCUCGGCAACGCCAGAUCAUUAACCCACUGAGCAAGGGCAGGGAACAAACCCACAACCUCAUGGUUCCUAGUCAGAUUCAUUAACCACUGCACCAUGACGGGAACUCCAGGGAAAUAGAUUUAAGAGUAGAGAAGAACAAGCCAUCUGGGAGGUGAAGUCAGCCCUUCAUAUCCAUGGGUUCCGCAUCCUCCAACCAACUGUAAAAAUGUUUUUGGGAAAAAUUCCAGAACAUUCCAGAAAGCAAAGUAUGAAUUUGCCACUUACUUUCAACUAUUUACAUAGCAUUUACAUUGUAUUUAUAACAGUUCACCUAUCAUUUACAGUGUAUUAGAUAUUAUAAGUAGGCUAGAGAAGAUUUAAAGUAUAUAGGAGGAUGUGCAUAGGAUAUAUGCAAAUGCUGUGCCAUUUUAUAUGAGACUUGUCAUCCUUGGAUUUUGAUGUCUGUGGGGUCCUGUAACCAGUUUCUCUCAGAUACCCAGGGACAACUGUAGCGAUAAAGUGAAGUUUUUUUUUUUCUGUUUAAAUGAUCUAGAAAUAUAUAGGCAGAUGGUCCCUGCCUGUAAUUAGGGUAAUAACCCAUUCGCCAUCUCUCAGACAUGUUCUCAGAUUGUGUUUCCAACUGGGGUUUGCACUUGGUAAGCUGGGACACAAAGGAGAUUCAGGAAUUGGUUAGUUUUAGAUUUUGAACUCCCAUGAAGAGAAGUUACUAUAUAUCGUUCAUUUGUUUAUCUCCCCUACCCACCAACUUUUGUCCAAUCUCCCGGUCACCUGCACCACUCCAUGUCCUGAGAGACAGUAAAGCUACUCUGGGUCCAAGAUUCUGGCAAGGAGGAGUAUGAGGGAUCAAAGACCAGGGGCCAUCUGAACAGGUCAGAAGGAUGACAGUCAUCAUAGGCAAAGGGAACCAUAUGUGCAAAGAUUGAAGUUUUCCAAGACUGGCUCCUUCCAGGAUCUGUUCAGUGCAGCUGACGGAGGGCAUGAGGAAGGGAUCUCUCGCAGAUACUCUGAAAGGCAGCUGAGUUUCUGCUGGUUGGUGAUCCUCAGCAUUUCUUGGCUUGUGAAUACAUCAGUCCAAUUUCUGUCUCUGUAUUCACAGAGCUAUCUUUCUUCUGUGUUUCUGUGUCUAAUUUUUCUUCUUAUAAGGACACUAGUCAUUGAUCAAGGUCUACUCUAAGUCAGCAUGACCUCAUCUAAACUAAUUAUACUUGCAAAGACCCUAUUUCCAAACCAGGUCACAUUCGUAGAUACCAGGAGUUAGGACUAGAGAAUUGGAGAGAUGCAAUUCAGCCUGCAAAAGGGGCUGAUGACGAGUUAGAGCAGAGGAGAGAUGCACACAAAUAUACACAGAUCACUCUGGAGUUUGGAGGUGGGGAGACUGGAGGACCAUCAGAUGCCUGAGGAUUAAUUGGGAGUUUACUGCAAAACACUAAGUGAGAACAGCUGAGGCCUGGACAGAGGCCAUGUCUGAGAACUCUGAGCCAUGGGAAGCGCUGGCUGACCCAGUUGGAAUUUUUGGCAAGAAGAGUUCAUAGUCAGUGGGGAAUGUGUUCUACAAGAAGACACAUAACGUCUUGUUCUUUGCAUUCAUUGAUGAUCAUUUCCUAUAGCCAUUAUUUCAUUAGGCUUUGUGGGAUGCUGAUACUCUAAUUCCAUCAUUUCUUCUUCAUUUCUUGGUUGAUGCUUCUAUAACAAGAAACUUGGUUUUUAAACAUUUUUUUAUCAAAGUAUAGUUGAUUAACAGUGUUGUGCCAAUUUCUGCUGUGCAGCAGAGUGACCCAGUUAUACAUACAUACAUAUAUAUGUUUAUAUAUAUAUUCUUUUUCUCAUAUUAUCUUCCAUCGUAUCCUAUCACAAGAGGUUGGACAUAGUUCCCUGUGCUAUACAGUAGGACCUCAUUGCAUAUCCAUUCUAAAUGUAAUAGUUUGCAUCUACUAACCUCAAACUCCCAGUCCGUCCCUCUGUGUCUCCCUCUCCCUUGGCAACCAUAAGUCUGUUGUACAUGUCUGUGAGUCUGUUUCUGUUCUGUAGAUAGGUUUAUUUGUGCCACAUUUUCUUUCUUUCUGUGUCUUUUUAUGGCUGCACCCAUGGCACGUGGAGGUUCCCAGGCUAGGGGUCAAUUCGGAGCUAUAGCUGCCAGCCUACACCACAGCCACAGCUAGGGGGAUCCAAGCCACGUCUGCAACCUACACCACAACUCAUGGCAAUGCUGGAUCCUUAACCCACUGAGCGAGGCCAGGGAUCAAACCUGCGUCCUCAUGGAUGCUAGUCAGAUUCGUUUCCACUGAGCCAUGACAGAAACUCCUGUGCCACAUUUUAGAUCCCACAUAUAAGUCAUAUCAUAUGGUAUUUGUCUUUCUCUUUACGACUUCCUUCAUUUAGUAUGAGAAUCUCUAGUUGCCUCCAUAGAAACGUCUUCUCAUUAACUAUUUACUUUGAUCUACAGUUCUUACAAGGGCAGGCAAAAUGCUAGAUUCUUUCCUUUUUAAAAAAACAGACUAGUUUUAAACUAAAUUUGUUGGCUAUUUGUUUCUGUUUGUUAUUGUUUUGAACUCAUGGUUUAGUGUAUUUGAUGUGUUUUAUGUUAUUUAACAUGUUUUCUUCUGCUUUAAUUAUUAUCCUUAAUGAUGCUCACAUCAUUCCAGUGGGAGCCUUUUCAAGUUGCCUCCUGAGUCCUCUUGACCCAAUCCCAGUCAUCUUUGACAUCUUUGAUAGUUUUCUUGCUUACUUAUAAGACUUUUUGAACUAACAGGGAACUCCAUGGAGUCUUAGUUUGUAUUUAUUUUAUUAGUAGUUGUAUAUAGGAGCUUUUCAUGUAUUUAAUUGGGUGUGUUUUAAGUUUGCACCUGACCAAUACCUGGGCCAGACAGAUGGUGGGGUGUUAAAAGCACUCCGAAUUAUAAACCAGGAGUACCGUUCUCCAAUCUUGCCACUGGCAUGACUUAUAAGGAAGUCACCUAUCUUUCUGGAUCUUUAUUUCUUCAUUAUCAAAUGGGUGGGGUGCCUCUACAAUUUUUAAAUUUCAAUCUAAGAUGCAGAGCUCUUAAUUCCUGGCUCCCAUGUGCCCCAGAACUCAUGUAAAGAUGUUUAGCCAAUAAAAUCAAUUGAGUAAUUGUAUAACCAAGUUCAAUUUAAUUUUUGUGUCUGUGCAAGUUAUUUUACCAAAUUAAUUUGUAAAACAAAAAAAUUGUUAGAUCACAUCUUCUGGGUUUUUAAAUUAUUUAAAAAUAUGGUCACUGGACUGAUAGAGGCUGCAUUGAUUGACCCUUCUGCUCGCUCUUUCAGAAGCUGCAGCCAACUGGUAAAUAGCUUGUCCAACCUCCUGCUGAAGCAUCUGCUGAGGUUUUGCCUAUUGCUGCAUUCACCCUCCCCCAACCCAGUCGCCCUCUGUUCUGGGGCUGCUUAUUAACUCUUAGAAGCUGCAGCUGUGGGGGGGUUCUGCUAUCUGUAGCUCAGGGUCUCCCAAGCACCUGCUUCAGUAUCACCUGGAGACCUUGGGAAAAGACUGUGUCCUGCAACAUCCACCUACUCACACACCACACACAGUGCUUUUCUCCCGUAGCGUUUAUCAUGGCAUCAGGAAUCAAAACAUUCCUUGUGCAAAUCUUUGUGUAAUGCCUGCAUCCCACACCAGCUCCCCAGGGGUAGGCUGUGGUGGAUUUUGCUUACUUUCUUAUCCCUAGCACCCAGCUCAGGGUGUGGCACUUUGCAGGUAUCUGGUAUUUGCUGGGUGCUGAAUGCAUGGGUGUUUGAGUGACCAAAUGAAUCAGUUUGAUGGAGAGCCACCUAGACACACAGACUUUCCCCUUGAUGUACAAAUUGUCUGUAUAAAAUGAAAGAAGGAUUCCCCCCUGCCCCAAAUUGGGGCUGACUGGUAGGUCUAGGUGUCAGUAUAAGUUUGUAAAUGUAUGUGUAUACAAAGGAGGAGCUUCUGAGGAGGAUGCUGGCCAGUUCCUGGUCCUGUGGGGCUGCAUGUUAUUAAAGGGGGAAAGCACUGGACUAUAGAUGGAAGAUGCAGAGUCUGAUGCCACUCAUGGUGACCCAGGUGAGUGUGAGCACAUCAUGUCUUCGUCUGUAGAACAGUGGCCUCUGGAGGGAUCCUUCUAGGGCUGUGAUCCUCAUCAGUAGAGUGUUGUCUCAUGGAAUCAGAGCCAAGAUGCUGGCAGGCUGUCCUCUCAGCCCACUGAUGAUAUACAUGAUAUUUAUUCAUUAGAAAUAUCUCCCCCUAAACCAAACUCUUCCUUAGCUUUCAAACCAAAUGCUGCAUCUCUUUCCUGGCACAUCAUUGUUGCCUUUGGGGAUUUUGCUUCCCAUGUUUACCGCUCUCAUUUCAGUCUUCUUGUAGCAGCUUUAAAUGACUGACUCCCAACUGCAGUGCCAGGCACUGUUCCAAGCACUUGACACGUAUCAACUCAUUUCACAAAGAUAAAGUUCAAUCCCACUUACGUUCUGCACAUGUCAUGUGCUUGUAUUUACAGGCAGAUCUGCGGCAUGUCAAUUUCAUAUGUCGUCGGCUGAUCGACUUUAGUGUGACUGGAUUUCACAUUAAGGCAGCAUGUUAUGAAAAGCACUUGAAUACUUAGGUGGGAGUGGAAGACAUACUGUAGGGUCAGCCCUAAAGUCAGUUAUGAUGUGUCAGGAAAUUAACCUUCCAGAAAUGUUUGACAAUAAUACAAGAUAGUGUAAAAAGUGCUAAAUCCAUGGCAUAUUUUAUAAGUCCUUGAGGCAGUCAGAGAGGGGAGAGUUGUAACCCUCUUGCUUGCUUGAUGGAUGUCUCUGCGUCUUUGUGGUGUCUUUACUUUCCGUGGGGUCCUGUGACACAGCAAGACUAGGCAAGCCAGGUGAGGUGCCCUCAAGAGGGUAUUUUUUGAAGAAUACAUUUCCACAGCAUCUCCUCCCCUCCCUACUACACACUCCCUGCUGAAUUUUUGCCACUUAAAAAAAAAAUGAAACAUGGGGAGUUCCUGUUGUGGCUCAGUAGUUAACGAACCCCACUGGCAUCCAUGAGGACAUGGGUUCAAUCCCUGGCUUCUAUCAGUGGGUUAAAGACCCGGUGUUGCUGUGAGCUGUGGUGUAGGCAGGCAACUACAGCUCUGAUUGGACCCCUAGCCCAGGAACCUCCAUAUGCCA
rnacentral:lncRNA from 1 species